rnacentral:rRNA from 1 species
CGGUCCGGACUACUUGGAUUCGCCUAGCUAACUGCGAGUGAAUGCGGGAAAAGCUCAAAUUUAAAAUCUGGCGGUCUUUGGCCGUCCGAGUUGUAAUCUAGAGAAGUAAUGCCCGUGCUGGACCGUGUAUAAGUCUCCUGGGAUGGGGCGUCAUAGAGGGUGAGAAUCCCGUCUUUGACACGGACUACCAGUGCAUUGUGGUAUGCUCUCAAAGAGUCGAGUUGUUUGGGAAUGCAGCUCAAAAUGGGUGGUAAAUUCCAUCUAAAGCUAAAUAUUGGCGAGAGACCGAUAGCGAACAAGUACCGUGAGGGAAAGAUGAAAAGAACUUUGGAAAGAGAGUUAAACAGUACGUGAAAUUGCUGAAAGGGAAACGCUUGAAGUCAGUCGCGUUGGCCGGGGAUCAGCCUUGCUUUUGCAUGGUGUACUUUCUGGUUGACGGGUCAGCAUCAAUUUUGACCGCUGGAAAAGGGCCUGGGGAAUGUGGCAGCUUCGGCUGUGUUAUAGCCCCUGGUCACAUACGGCGGUUGGGAUUGAGGAACUCAGCACGCCGCAAGGCCGGGUUUCGACCACGUUCGUGCUUAGGAUGCUGGCAUAAUGGCUUUAAGCGACCCGUCUUGAAACACGGACCAAGGAGUCUAACAUGCCUGCGAGUAUUUGGGUGAAAAACCCGAGUGCGCAAUGAAAGUGAAAGUUGAGAUCCCUGUCGUGGGGAGCAUCGACGCCCGGACCAGAACUUUUGGGACGGAUCCGCGGUGGAGCAUGUAUGUUGGGACCCGAAAGAUGGUGAACUAUGCCUGAAUAGGGUGAAGCCAGAGGAAACUCUGGUGGAGGCUCGUAGCGAUUCUGACGUGCAAAUCGAUCGUCAAAUUUGGGUAUAGGGGCGAAAGACUAAUCGAACCAUCUAGUAGCUGGUUCUGCGAGUACCCCCUCAAGGAAGAAAACCGAGACGAGAUGGGUCGAUUAGGUCGUAUCGCCCCUAUACAACUUUGAACGAAUGAUUGCAGUUCGAAUUGCCUACGAGCUUCCGAGAAUUUCUCUGGCUUCCACUAGUCAGGCUGGUUCAAUCUUCGGUCGAGUACUGGUCCACGGCGAAUGCUUCAAAGAUCUGUCCGAGCUCGAGUUUCCAGACGACUCCACUCA